UUAUCAGUGAACAUGUCUGAACACAAGGUGUUAAAGCUGUCAACUAUAGAAGUUUUGGAUAGAGCCUUGCUGUAUGAUUUAUGAAGGGCCUGCACUAGGCCACUAUACUGCUGGGAGAAAGAAUUUUUACUUAUUCUCUUACCCUAUGACUAUGAGACAUCCUCAAAAAGUUCAGUCUGUUGUAUGUGACUUGGUUUAGUGAUGCAUUGACAGUCCUGUGACUCAUGUUUAAGGCACUACAGGCUUAACUCAAGACGCUUCAUUUUUAAAGGUUCCAGUCCAAGGCUCCAAGCACUGGUAUACUGUAUGUCUGGAUCGUUCCUGCCACCAACCACUCCUUCCCGAGCUGCCAUAGCAUACCGCGCGGAGCUCAGGGGCGCUGGCCCCCAUAAAUCACGGCAUCACGCUGCGGAUUCUUUUUUUUUUAUGACUAUCACGCUGCGGAUUCUUUGCCUUGUGCUUCGCAGCUGCUAGUUCGGAGCACCCGCUGCUGCAACGUCCUCGCCGGCGGACAGGAGCUUACCGGUGGGGCACACGGGCCGGCGAUGGCUCCGAUCACCGAGGCGCGCUGGUCAGCGCCUCCUCCUCGCCUCCGGCUGCCGCCACCGACCUGCGCCGACGGAGUCGCCGCCGCCGCCGCCGCCUCCUCCUCCUUCAGCUGCAGAUAUCGCCGCCGCCUCGUCGCCCUCCUCCGCCCCCCGAUGGCCGCCGCCGACCCGCCGCCGCGCGGGGGUGCCGCGGCCCCCGCGCCCGUGCUGCGGCGGAGCCCCAGCAUCGAGCGCAUCCCGGAGGACGCGCGCCGCAUCCUGCUCCGCCUGGCCGGCGAGCUCUGGGGCGGCGACGUGGACCCGGGCGCGCUCGCCGUGUCCCAGCUCAAGGGCGCCAUGACCAACGAGGUCUUCCGGAUCACCUGGCCCGGCGGCGAGGGCGACCCGCGGAAGGUGCUCGUGCGCAUCUACGGCCAGGGCGUCGAGGUCUUCUUCGACCGCGCCGACGAGGUCCGCACCUUCGAGUGCAUGUCGCGCCACGGCCAGGGGCCCCGCCUCCUCGGCCGAUUCGCCAACGGCCGCGUGGAGGAGUUCAUCAACGCCAGGACGCUGUCUGCGGCGGAUCUGCGCGACCCGGAGAUAUCAGCGCUGAUAGCCAAGAAGCUGAGGGAGUUUCACGAUCUCGACAUGCCUGGACCCAAGGAUGUCUCGUUGUGGCAUAGGCUCAGGAGGUGGCUUGAGCAGGCUCGUGUCAGGUGUUCCGAGGAAGAGUCCAAACAAUUUCAGCUGAAUAAGCUUGGCGAUGAGAUUGCGUUGCUGGAGAAGGUGCUGUCAGGGUUCAAUCAGUCAGUUGGAUUUUGCCAUAAUGAUCUGCAGUAUGGGAAUAUUAUGAUAUAUGAAGAGACCAGACAAGUCACCCUGAUUGACUACGAAUAUGCCAGUUUUAACCCUGUUGCAUUUGACAUUGCUAAUCACUUCUGUGAGAUGGCUGCUGAUUACCAUACAUCAACACCUCAUGUGCUGGACUUUGCAAAAUAUCCUGCGAAGAUUUGUUUGGACAUACCUUAGCUCUUCAGGUGAAAAUCCAUUGGAUGAGGAAGUUGAAAACUUACUAGGCUUGAUUGCAAAGUAUACUCUUGCAAGCCAUCUCUUUUGGGGCCUUUGGGGAAUAAUCUCGGCGCACGUGAACAAAAACAUCGACUUCGAGUACAUGGAGUAUGCAAGGCAACGCUUCGAUCAGUACUGGCAGACAAAGCCUAGAAUACUUGGAUCCAACUGAUGAUUAGCCAAUUCUUUUUGUUGUUUUACGGGCUCUUGGCUAGCUAGUCGCUAGCUAGUCCUGUGAAUUCUAUUCUUCAGUAGCGUCUAGUUGCUGCCCGUUCUUUGCUGCUGAUUUUUCAGCUCGUUCUGUAAGUUUUUAAUUAUAAUGUAUUUAACCGAAAAUGCAAGCAAUGCGAUUGACAUAUAGGGAGCAGGGAUGUAUUUAUAGCUACAAGAGGCGACCGAUCUAUUGAAUUAAUGGAGCAUCUCACAGUAACAUUGUA